AUUGAACGCUGGCGGCAUGCCUUACACAUGCAAGUCGAACGGUAACUGGUCUUCGGAUGCUGACGAGUGGCGAACGGGUGAGUAAUACAUCGGAACGUGCCUAGUAGUGGGGGAUAACUACUCGAAAGAGUGGCUAAUACCGCAUGAGAUCUACGGAUGAAAGCAGGGGAUCGCAAGACCUUGUGCUACUAGAGCGGCCGAUGGCAGAUUAGGUAGUUGGUGGGAUAAAAGCUUACCAAGCCGACGAUCUGUAGCUGGUCUGAGAGGACGAUCCGCCACACUGGGACUGAGACACGGCCCAGACUCCUACGGGAGGCAGCAGUGGGGAAUUUUGGACAAUGGGCGCAAGCCUGAUCCAGCAAUGCCGCGUGCAGGAUGAAGGCCUUCGGGUUGUAAACUGCUUUUGUACGGAACGAAAAGCCCUGGGUUAAUACCCUGGGGUCAUGACGGUACCGUAAGAAUAAGCACCGGCUAACUACGUGCCAGCCGCCGCAGUAAGAC
rnacentral:rRNA from 1 species